AUAAACUCUUUGUCUUUCUAGCUUAUUAAUAGUUGUAAGUUACAGUCUUACAGAUCCCCCAUUCAUUUCCCUCAUCUUCAAAGACACCGCCCAAUCAGCCCAUCUUCUCUUUCAAUUUGAUUCUUCUCCCGUUAAUCACAAUGGAGCUGAAGCCCUCACAGACCUCGCCAUCUCAAACCCUGACCAACACGCCGUCGCAAGAUGCGCCUCUCCUCGUGCGCGGCACUUUCUGCAUCGCCAAUUCCGCCUCCGCUCCGCCCGCCGAGAAGCCCGCGCCGCCGCCGCAGCUGCCUGUUGUGGUGCCGGGAUUACAGGAGCAGUUUGUCGAUUCUAGCUUCAGGUUGAUUUGGAGCGAGGAGAUCGACAGACGCUAUUGGAAUUAUUUUGCUCAGAUGACUGAUGAUUUGUAUUUGUAUCUCGCAAGGUCCAUACCAACGGAAUCUAGGCCACCUGUCAAAGCAAGCUGAUAGAAACGAGAGAAAUAGAAAAGCUGAUCUCUCUCCAUAUAAAUACAAAGGAGGACCUCAAGAGGCUACUAUUGCUUUGGACGGCCUAAUCCCAUCUUACAGUCUCUUUCUCGAUUUGUGAUUUUAUAAUAUUAUAUCUUUGCUCCUUUCUUAUCGAAUUUUCUCAUAUUUCAGAUUUUACAUUUUCUAAUUAGUCUUUUUUAAAAAUUCAGAAAUGCAAAUGGUCAAUGUGUGCCUCUUUAUUGUUCCCUCUUUAAUAAUGAGUUCUUUCUUACUCUUCGCAUACCAACUCUGAAUUAAUGAAUUGGUAAUAGGCUCAUCUUCAUUUUUUGCAUGAAUAUCACAUUCUAUAUAAGCUACGGAACAGAGUGUUAUAAACAUAUUAAUAUUUCUCGUAAUGGGAGUUGCUUUGCAGGCUGCAAUUGCUAUAUUUCUUUCACAAGGGUUUUUGCAGCUCCUGAUGUUCUUCAUUCCAAGGUUUGUAACUUUAUUUUUAGCAAUAGGUAAUUACAAAAUGUGAUUUUGUGUUGUUUUGAUUUGAGGGUUGGGUUCAUUUUUCAAGUUGAGGGUUCUGAGGCACCCGAUACUAACUCACUCGGUCUCAAUUCCGAUAAGAUAAUUUUGUAGAUUUGCUUUGUGGGUUUUGUAAAUUAGGGCAAAAAGGUGUUAAUGGUUGGUGCUGGUGGUGUUGGAUGUGAGCUUCUCAAGACUCUUGCUCUCUGGCUUUCAAGAUAUUCACAUUGUAAAUUUCUCUUACUUUUAUCGUGCUUAUGUAUUGUCGUUUCGUUCUACUUCUUUUUAGCCUUUUGCUGCUGGUCGUUGGUGCUGGUGGUUUCAGCAGUCUCGGUUUCUGAGGUUUCAGUUUCUUUUUUCUUGGUUGCCUAUUUUUUUUUGGUAAAUAUGUGUUUACUUAGGGUUGUUAUGGUCUUUAGUAUUGUCACUAACGUAAAUUGGAUUUUAUGUGGUAAUCGACAUUUGAUGGAGAUUAUAGCAUCCUUACCACUCUUGAGGCCAUGUAUAUAAAUUACUACCAAUAAUUUGUAGUAUUUUUUUUCUCAAUAUUAUUAAGGGGAAAGAAUUUAAGAUCACGGGGCUUGAAGUGUACUGAAUUUUUUAGGAUCUUAAUGUUAUAUGAAGAUCCGAACAAAAGCCAAAAGAAUUACAGAUGCUAGUGAUGAAUGUAAAUAAAGCUCUGCUCCUUUUCUCUUAAAGUACAGACUCCAUAAAAUGGUAAAUGUAAUCCACACUCUGUGUGCUUGGCCUCCUGUAUUACCUUAGUGCCAAAGUCAAAUAAUAGGAAGUGUAGCAAAAUUGUAGAAGCAGAUUCACUUCAUUGUCCGAAAUUCCGGUUAAGUAAUUAGGUAUAAAGGUACCACAUCAUGCAUUACAGGAGGCAUAUCUGUAUAUAUAUAAAGGAGGCUCUCGGGAGGGUGAGGUGGCAUCUAUCAGGGCUCUUCAUCUAAUUUAGAGAGAGAGAGAGAGGGAAUGCCAUACGCAUUAGAAUGCAGAGUCCUGAAAAGGUGUUUGAGUACUGUGCAUCAUACAGAUCCCGUGGUGGACAAGUGUUUAUGACAUUAGCUGACCUGAUGUGGGCAGCUGUUCCAGUAUUUCCUCCUAAUCAAGAUACUCUCGUGUAAGAGUGGGAAGUUUGAAAGGGGAGUGGCCUCAUGUUAUCAAAUUUUGCAUUGGAGAAACAACUAC